CACCGGCGGCUCGAGUGGUGGCCACUUUUAUUGGGUCUAAAGCGUCCGUAGCCGGCUUGGCAAGUCCCCUGGGAAAUCUGGCGGCUUAACCGUCAGGCGUCCAGAGGAUACUGCCAGGCUUGGGACCGGGAGGGGUGAGAGGUACCUCAGGGGUAGGGGUGAAAUCUUGUGAUCCCUGAGGGACCACCAGUGGCGAAGGCGUCUCACUAGAACGGGUCCGACGGUCAGGGACGAAAGCUGGGGGCACGAACCGG
rnacentral:rRNA from 1 species